GGGCCCGCACAAGCGGUGGAGCAUGUGGUUUAAUUCGAUGCAACGCGAAAAACCUUACCUACCCUUGACAUCAUCAGAACUUGUUAGAGAUAACUCGGUGCCUUUUGGAACUGAUUGACAGGUGCUGCAUGGCUGUCGUCAGCUCGUGUCGUGAGAUGUUGGGUUAAGUCCCGUAACGAGCGCAACCCUUAUCCUUAGUUGCCAGCAUGUAAAGAUGGGAACUCUAAGGAGACUGCCGGUGACAAACCGGAGGAAGGCGGGGACGACGUCAAGUCAUCAUGGCCCUUACGGGUAGGGCUACACACGUGCUACAAUGGCAGGUACAGAGGGUCGCGAAGCGGUGACGUGGAGCUAAUCUCAGAAAGCCUGUCGUAGUCCGGAUUGCAGUCUGCAACUCGACUGCAUGAAGUCGGAAUCGCUAGUAA
rnacentral:rRNA from 1 species